CCCAGCUGCUGCGCGCGCGCCGCCCCCGCCCGCCCGCGCUGUUGCCGCACGUGCCGCACGUGCCGCGCGUCGGCAAGUUCGAUCCAUCGAUACCUCUGCCCGGGUUCAUGCCUCCGGAACCUCCUCCCGGCCUUAUCACCUUGCAGUAAAAUGUUAAAAACAUUUCAUUGAUAUUAUAUACUUAUAUGUUUCUUUAAAAGUGUAAAUAAAUUUAUAAUUUAC